rnacentral:rRNA from 1 species
GACGAACGCUGGCGGCAUGCCUAAUACAUGCAAGUCGAACGCUUCUUUCCUCCCGAGUGCUUGCACUCAAUUGGAAAGAGGAGUGGCGGACGGGUGAGUAACACGUGGGUAACCUACCCAUCAGAGGGGGAUAACACUUGGAAACAGGUGCUAAUACCGCAUAACAGUUUAUGCCGCAUGGCAUAAGAGUGAAAGGCGCUUUCGGGUGUCGCUGAUGGAUGGACCCGCGGUGCAUUAGCUAGUUGGUGAGGUAACGGCUCACCAAGGCCACGAUGCAUAGCCGACCUGAGAGGGUGAUCGGCCACACUGGGACUGAGACACGGCCCAGACUCCUACGGGAGGCAGCAGUAGGGAAUCUUCGGCAAUGGACGAAAGUCUGACCGAGCAACGCCGCGUGAGUGAAGAAGGUUUUCGGAUCGUAAAACUCUGUUGUUAGAGAAGAACAAGGACGUUAGUAACUGAACGUCCCCUGACGGUAUCUAACCAGAAAGCCACGGCUAACUACGUG